rnacentral:lncRNA from 1 species
AAGACGCAUCAACCGUAUCAUAUACGUUGACGUAUCCGCAUCUGUAGAUAUACCAAAAAACAGUAUGUGAUCCCGAAAAUUUAAUUUAUGUACUUUCAAUAAUGAAAAUGGGCGACUGAUUAAUUUCUAAUGCAGAAAUUUACAAAACAAUAAGGAAAUUUCGAGAUUUUUUGGAAUAUGAAAACCGACUUUUAAAGAGUUUUCGGAUAGUUGGAACAGUUUACAGGCAUGAUAGGCGUGAAUACGGUAAAAUCAAUUGUGUGUGUAUGAACUUGUGCUCACGUAGAACCAACUUGAUAUUUGACAUAUAGAGUGAUGCUCAGUACUUUUCUAUUACCUUUUAUGAUACAAUCGCAAAUGAACAAUAUUCAAAGUUCCUUACAUGUAUAUAAGUAUUUGCAUUUGACUUUUUUUUUGUGUUUAUUCAUGUAUUUUAUUAACUAGAUUAUUAAAGGAUUGUGUACGAUAUUCGUGUACCUGCGCUAUAUUGGCUUCUUUUUAACGGCAUGUAAAAGUAGUUGAUAGAACCCCUUAUUUUUUACAAAACUCCAUUUUCAUAAAUAUUGAAACUGUAUGUUUCGAAGAGAUUUCAAUUACUUUUUUUAAAUGAAGCAUGGUCUUAUUAAUAAGCUCGGGAUCACAUAAUAUUUUUCGAUAUAUCUGCAGAUGCGGAUACGUCAACGUAUACGAUACGGUUGAUACGUUUGUAAAUGACCGACCUCUA